rnacentral:snoRNA from 1 species
UGCGAACACGAGUCGCUGGUGUAAAGAUAUAUUUUCCACUUUAGCUAGUGCUUUUUUUCUGUUCGCAGAUUAAUUUUGUUUCACACAAGCAUAACCCAAAUUUAUUUCAGAAAUUUGCGGUGCAUAUUUUUUUUGUGAAGCAAACAUUU